GACAGAGGGGGCAAGCGUUGCUCGGAAUCACUGGGCGUAAAGGGCGCGUAGGCGGGAUGGCAAGUCGGUCGUGAAAUCUCUCGGCUCAACCGAGAAACGUCGGCCGAUACUGCCGUUCUUGAGGGAUGCAGAGGAGACUGGAAUUCCCGGUGUAGCGGUGGAAUGCGUAGAUAUUGGGAGGAACACCAGUGGCGAAGGCGGCUCACUGGACCGGUACUGACGCUGAUGCGCGAAAGCGUGGGGAGCAAACAGG
rnacentral:rRNA from 1 species